CGAAGCUUCUGAGCCUCUUUCCUUGCUGGGAUAAUGGGGAGGUUGAACUAUAGGGUUUUUGGAGUCUUUUCUAGUUCUAAAGUUCUAUGAUUUGAUAUAUUAGUCUCCUCUACUGUUACCAAAGUUUUUGUAUGUGUAUACCCUCUCCAAAGGAGGGGUAGUAUGUCUUAUUGUAAGGAAGUCACCAGGGACAAUGGGAAUGUGUUGUUAGACGAUUUUUCACUCUCUGUUGAGGCCAUGAGGGAUGACAAGUGGUUAAUACUGGGACAGGAAAUGCAGCAGGCUUGGACCAGGAAGUCAGGGACUUCCUCUCCUCUCUGGGAACCUAAUCUGAUUGCUCAUGGAAGAAGCCUGACUUUGGGUGUCUUUUGUGGCUACUCUGGAACAUCUACUGACCUGAUCACACAAGUUCCAUGGCAUUCCUCAGCAGGGGAGGAUUUUUGGUAUGUGGACAUUUCCCUGAAGAUCUGUAAUACUGGUGUCUGAGGCACUGGACGUUGACGACGCACUGCGAGAGAGGAGUGCUCUCAUCCUCCUUGCACUCUCAGAAACUACUGCCAACUGGGCAGUGAACCUCGGACUCAAUGGUGAUUCCCUAAGACAUAGGGCUGGUACUGGACUGCUGGCUUUGGUGGCAAGGUGGCCACAAUCUCAAUCUCAACUCUUUCUGCCUUGGACCUCAGCUACUGUUGCAGUUCUUUUGGCUGAAGAAUUUGACGGACUCCCUGUUUUCAACUGUUCUACAGUGAAACCACAGCUGCAACAAUGGUGGUAGAGAAUGGUUUCUUCUGGCAGACAAAGGGAUUUUCUUUGAAGUGAUUUAGGUCUUCAGAUUCAGAAUGGAACUUACACUACUGGUUUUCCUGGGUCUCCCCCUUGCAGACGGCAGAUAUUGAGACAGCUUCCAUAUCAGCGUUCUUUUAGGUUCUGUAUGGAGAAGGAAGAAGCAGCCGACUGGGCCAGAGAGAGGCACUUUUGGCUCACCAACCCCGCAUCAGAGGCCACGAGCAGAGCUUUGUGUGUUCUGGAAAACCUUAGCCAAGGAAGCAGCACCUGGGAACUGAGAGGGGUCAGGACUCUUGGGGACUGGAGGAGAGAAGGCCUGCACGCUCCCGCAGCUCACCAACACCUGCAUAAGCCAUCGAACUGAACACACUGACUUAGCAGCCUCUCUUCGAGUCCAAGGAGGAAGAAGGGAAGUCAGCACAAACAUGAAUAAGCCUUCAAGGACAAGAGGUCAGCUGACUUCCCAAAGACAUGUGGGUCACGCCAGAUCUCCUUAGCUUGGCACUCUGUACCCGCCCACCAGCUAACCCUAAAUCUCCCUAGUUCCAGUCACUGUGCUCCCCCCUCCACGCCAGCGGGCGCGACCCUCCACCCCCAGCGUUUUGAUCCUGUGAUCCACUUCUCAUCGAAAUGCCCUUGGCCUCUCUGAAACUUUUCUGCUUUUUCAGUUUAGUUUCGGUCCAUCUCCUCCAGGAAGUCUUCCCUGUUCCACCAGCUGGCAGCAGGCACCACUCGGCUGAGCUCCAGCCUGACCCACCUGCUUCCUAGCAUGUCCACCCCUAAAGCAUCCUUUCAGUAUUUUCCUUCAAGAGCCACCAUGUUUGGAAGGAUUUAGCCUACUGAUCACAUUUACGUGGCAAGUAAAUUUAUCUACCACUUACUUAACCGUGGUAAACCAAUCAACCACAUAUUUCCCCAGUUUUGUUACUCAAAGAAGAAUCUAGUCUCUCAGGGAGUUCUUCCCUGCUUGACCAUCCUUGGAGUGUUCCUGGUGCCAAAAUCACCUCUCAACUCUUCUUACCCUUUUGCUUCAUGCUAAGUGUUAGGAAAGCAUUUUAAUCAUAAAUAUCACUAUUAUUUGACAUCAUAUUGAAAAUAGUCGUUUCUAUAUUCUCUAGUAAAUGAGAACGAAUGGAUUAUUUUCAGAAAAAUUCUUACCAAAACUGACUCAGAAAGAGGUUUGUAGAAACCCAAACCAUGGAGGAAAUUGACAAUGAUGCAAAAACUACCCAGGUCCAGAUCAUUUAACAAGUUAGUUAUUUUAAACCUUUAAGGGAAGAGAUGCUUCUGAUGUUAUUAAAUUCAUCUGGGGCAUAGAGGAAAAAGCUUCCUCCUUAUUUUAUGAAGCCAACAUAUCAUUGGUACCAAAACUUCAUAGAGAUCACACAUAUGCAUCAUGCACCUCAUACAAGCAUUGCCCCUCCACAUACACACACACACACACACACACUGCUCACACUACACACAGUACACAUACCCGCACACCACACACACACUGUACAAACAUACCACAUCUGCACACCACACACCAUUCAUACACACACACAUUUCAUACUCUACACAAAUACAAACGUGCUUCCCACACAUACACUAUGCACACGUACACCACCCACACACUACACAUCCCACACCACACAGACUCACAUCAUACCUACGCCACUCAUGUCACCCCCCCACAUACACUAGGGUAUUCUCACUUUUAAACAUGAUGUAAAAAUCCUAAUUAAAAUAUUAACAAAUAGAAUCCAGUAGUCCAUUAAAAAAAUACACUGUGACAUAGUGGGGCUCAUUUCAGGGUGAUUCGAUUUUAGAAAAAUCUAUUAGUGCAAUUCACCCUAUUAAUAAUCAAAGGAGAAAAGGUAUGAUUACCUUCAAAGAUACAGAAAAGGAAUGUAAUAAAAUUGAACAUUCAUUUAUAGUAAAAUAAUAAUAAUAACAAGAGCUAACAUUUGUUUUGCCCUUGUUCUGUGCUGGGCACUGUCUGACAAGCUUUGUAUGCAUUUUCUCAGUUAGUCCUCACCCUCACCCGAUGAUGAAAGUACUAUCUAUCACCCUCAUUUUAUAGAUAAGGAAACUAAAGCUUAGCAAGGUUAAGGAUCUUGCCUCAGGUCACACAGCUAGGAAUUGGGCUGUAGAUAGCUAGUAAGUGGCUUAUUCUUAACCACUGCGUCAAAAUAGGAAUAUAGGAAUACUGCCAUAAUACAAUAGACAUAUGUAUCCCAAAUCAUAAGCAAUAUCAGGAGUAACAGGAAAACAUUGGGAACAGUUCCAUUAAAAUCAGGAAUAAGACAAGUGUGUCCAUUAUCACUGUUAUCUAACAUUUUUCUGGAAGAGCUAGCCAGUGCAAUUAGAUAAGAGAGCCAAUAAAAGUAUAAAUAUUGUAAGAAAGAAGGUGAAAUUCUACUUACUGCAGAUGAAAUGACAAUGUAACUGAAACCCCAAGAGAACCAACUGAAAAGCCAUUAGAAACAAUAUGAGAAUUCAGACAGGUAGCCAGUCACAUAGCUCAUGUUGAAAAAAAAAAAUCAAUAACUUUCCUGAAGGGAAACAGCAACCAGGUAGAAAAUUCAAUAGAAGAAAAGAUCUCAUUCACAACAGCAAUGAAAAAGUGAAAUACUUAAGAAUAAAUUAACAAAAUGGUACAUAUCAUACUAUAUGAAGAAAAAGAUACAACGCUGAGAGACAGAAAAGAAGAAUUCAUCAAGAAACAGUUCCUUUUUUUUUGAGAUUAGCCCUGAGCUAACAUCUGCCGCCAACCCUCCUCUUUUUGCUGAGGAAGACUGGCCCUGAGCUAAAAUCCAUGCCCAUCUUCCUCUACUUUAUAUGUGGGAGCCUGCCACAGGAUGGCUUGACAAGCAGUGCGUAGGUCCACACCCAGGAUCCGAACAGGUAAACCCCGGGCCAUCAAAGCAGAACGUGCAAACUUAACUACUGCACCACCAGGCAGCCCCCAAGAGACAGCUCCAUUUUUGAGUGGCAAAAUAAAAGAAUAAAAAGUGCCAAUUCCGUCUUCGUUAUAAACUCAAAUCCAUUCCAUUAAAAUACUAACAGAAUUUGUAAAAGAACUUGAUGAAAUUUAAACUUAGUCUAGAGGAAUAAACUUGUGAGAAGAGUCAGGAAAAUUAUGAAAAGUAAAAGAGGGAAACAAGCCCUUCUAGAUAUUUAGGAUGUAUUAUAAAGUUAUAGUAACUACAACAGUGUGGUUCCAACUCAACAAGAGACCAACAUGAUGAUGAAACAGAAUAGCACGGCCCAGAAAUAGACCCCCAAACAUGUAGCAAUUUACACAUAACACAGUAUGUGAUAUAGGUAUCAUUUCUGAUCUAUGGGGAAAACAGGUCAAUAAACAGCCUUGAGACAACUGAUAGCCGCUUGAAAAAAUAAUAAUCCUAGACCCUCACAUCACUCCUUAGACUAAAACACAUGUCAGAGGAAUCACAAAUCUAAAUGUACAAAUGAAACCACAACUGUAUUAGAAGAAAAUACGGGGAUGUAUUUUUAUAAACUUGGGGUGGAUAAGCCUUUCUAAGCAUGACAACUCCUAGAUUAUAGAAGGGGAAAAGUAACUAUAUAAACUAAUAAACUUCUGUGGCCAAAAGAUACAAGCUUCCAGUUAGAAGAUAAGUCUUGAGGAUCUAACGUACAGCAUGGUGACUAUAGUUAAUAAUACUGUAUUGAGUAUUUGAACGUUGCUAGGAGUGUAGAUCUAAAAACUUCUCAUCACAAGAAGAAAAAUUUGUAACUAUGUGUGGUAAUGGAUAUUAACAAAACUUACUGUAAUCAUUUUGAAAUAUAUACAUAUAUCAAAUCAUUACAUUGUACACCUAAAACUAAUACAAUGUAUAUGUCAAUGAUGUUUCAGUAAAAAAUGAGCUUCUAGAUAUGAUAUAUAUACACAAUGGAAUACUACUCAGACAUAAAAAGGAUAAAAUCAUCCCAUUCGCAACAACAUGGAGGGACCUUGAGGGUAUUAUGUUAAGUGAAAUAAGCCAGAUAGAGAAAGACAAACUCUGUAUGACUCCACUCAUAGGUGGAAGUUAAACAUGUAGACAAAGAGAACAGAUUAGUGGUUACCAGGGGAAAGGGGGGAUGGGGGUGGGCACAAAGGGUGAAGGGAUACACCUACAACGUGACUGACAACCAAUAAUGUACAACUGAAAUUUCACAAUGUUGUAAACUAUCAUAGUUAUCAUAAUCUCAAUAAAAAGUUAAAAAAAUAAGCUUCCAUGCAAAGAUGGAAGUAAAGAACAAGUUGGAGGAAAAGUACAAUAUAUAUAACAAGCAAAGAGUUUAUCGAUUCCUCUAAUAAACAAAAAGCACUUAUAAAUAAAGAAGAAAAAGAUGAACAAUGAAAGAAAAAUGGGCAAAAGAUAAUAGAAGCAAAUCACAGAAAAAAUGUUGAUAAUCAGUAAAGCAAGUGAAAGUUUGCUCAUUUCACUAAUAAUCUAAAAAAUGCAAAGUUAAAUAAUGAGUUCUAAAUUUUUACUGAGACUGAAAAAUAAUAAAAAAAUUGAUAUGCAGCGUGGGUGAGAAGGUGAGAAACUGAUCCUCAUAAAUUAUUGGUGAGAAUCUAAAUUGUCAUGAUAUUUUUGGAAGCAAAUUUGGCAGCAGCUACUAAAAUUUUCAAAGCCCUUAGAAUGUUAUGGGUUAAAUUGUGUCCCCUCCCCAACGAAAAAAGAGACAUGUUGGAAUUCUAGCCCCCAGUACCUCAGAAUAUGACCUUAUUUGGAAAUAUGGUGAUUGUAGACAUAAUUGGUUCACUGAGGUCAAACGAGUGGGAUUGGCCAUAAUCGAAUGUGACUGAUAUCCUUAUAAGAAGACAGUCAUGUGAAGACAGAGGCCACAGGGAGAAUGCCACGUGACGUUGAAGGCAGAGAUGGAAGUGAAGCAGCUACAAGGCAAGGAAAACCAAAGAUUGCUGGCAAACCACCGGAAGCUCAGAAGAGGCAAGGAAGGGCUGCCCGGCAGGUUUCAGAGGGCGCAGGACCCUGCUGACAUCUUGAUUUUGGAUUUCUAGCCUUCAGAACUGUGAGACAAUAAAUUCCUGUUGUUUGAAGCCACCCGGUUUGUGGUACUUUGUCACAACAGCCCUAGGAAGCUAAUACAAAGAACAAAUUCCGCAUCUAAAAUUUUAUUCUAUCCAAAUACUCCCUCAAUUAUAGGUAUUCAAAGAUAUCCAUUUCAUUGUUGAUUGUAAUAUUGGGAAGCUGGAUGCUAUCCAAUAUCCAUCAGUAGAGAACUGUUUAGAUAAAUUAUGAUACUUCAAUGGAAUACUAAGCUGCGGUUAAAAGCAAUGAAGUAACUAAAAAUAUAUGAAUUCACAAGAUACUCCAGACAAAUUGGUAAGUUGAAAGAUCAAGUUGUAAGGCACAAGUAGUAUAUGGUACUAAAAUUAUCUUUCAAAAAAGCCGUAAUAACAUGCUAGAAUGCGGAUAGAAAAAAACGCCGAUGUGCUUUUCACAAGUAGCUAUUUGGUGGUGGGAGUGGAGAUAAUAUGAGGGGCUUUCUUGUUUCAUGUCGCAUAUAAGAUUUAAAUAUUUUAAAAUGGGCACGUAUUCCCUUGGUCUUCAGAAAAGUCAUGUGUGUUACUCUGUGAAGGGAGAUCCGUAUCUCACCUUGGCCUCAUUCUGAGUUUUUGAAUCAGCUGCCUUGGAAUAGCUACGAUAACCUCUCCUUUCCAGGAUUCAGCUUUCUGACAUUCUCCCCAUACAGUUGGCACGAAUGAGGGAAUUCAGGAGGACACAAGAAAGUGCUAUUUGCUGUCCCCUAGGUCCUCCCUCAGAGCCUAUUUCCCUUUACUUUAUACCCAAUAUAGACGCCUUAGUUAUUCUAAUUUCCAGAAUGCAGCAGUUUGAAAGAAGGAAAGGAACCGCCAGUGCUAGGCACUCUAACAAUAAAGAGGGAAUUUUCAGAAAAAUUAUAAAAAGUCAUUGGAAGGACUUACAUGUAUAUAAAUCUGGCUCAUUUAAUACAGGAGUAACCAUCUUACAUCUUAGCAACCUCUAAGGCCAUCUUUCCAUCACAAGUUAAUGUAAUAAAUUAUAAUUUCUGUGACUCAGUCAAGAAAACUGUAAAUUAUGUCCAUAUAAGAAAG
ensembl:lncRNA